UACGGGGGGGGCAAGCAUUGUUCGGAAUUACUGGGCGUAAAGGGCUCGUAGGCGGCCAACUAAGUCGGAUGUGAAAUCCCCAGGCUUAACCUGGGAACUGCAUCCGAUACUGGAUGGCUUGAAUCCGGGAGAGGGAUGCAGAAUUCCAGGUGUAGCGGUGAAAUGCGUAGAUAUCUGGAGGAAUACCGGUGGCGAAGGCGGCAUCCUGGACCGGCAUUGACGCUGAGUGAGCGAAAGCUAGGGGAGCAAACGGG
rnacentral:rRNA from 1 species